GUGCUCAUUCAGGAGCCCGUACACUAAAACUGGAACAGUACAGAGAAGAUCAGCAUGCCCCCUGCACGAGGAUGACACGCAAAUUCGUGAAGCAUUCCAUAUUUUU